CGGUGCGCGGCAUCGGCGCCAAGUCGCUGGACGUGGUUCGCGGGCAGGCCAAGUCGGCGACCACGUCGUUGUGGACGGCCGCCGCGGAUUGCGUGGCCAACGGCGCGCUGGGGCCCAAGGCGGAAGCCGCGGUCAACGGCUUCCUGAAACUCAUCGAUCAACUGGCCAAUGACGUCGCCGGCCUCGAACUGCACGAGCAGGUGGACCAUGUCAUCAACAACUCAGGCCUGGUCGAACACCACAAGAAAGAGAAGGCCGAUCGCGGUGAGGCGCGUGUCGAGAACCUGAACGAGCUGGUGUCCGCCGCACGUGGCUUCGAGCCCGAUGGGCUCAACGCCGAAGAUGAGGAGCUGCCACCGCUGGAAUCCUUCCUCGCCCACGCCGUGCUCGAGUCCGGCGAAGGACAGGCUGCCGAGUGGGAAGACUGUGUCCAGAUGAUGACGCUGCACACCGCCAAGGGCCUGGAGUUCCCGGUGGUGUUCAUGUGCGGCCUGGAGGACGGCCUCUUCCCCCACCAGCGCUCACUCAACGACGC
rnacentral:misc_RNA from 1 species